rnacentral:rRNA from 1 species
GACGAACGCUGGCGGCGUGCUUAACACAUGCAAGUCGAACGGUAAGGCCCUUCGGGGUACACGAGUGGCGGACGGGUGAGUAACACGUGGGUGAUCUGCCCUGCACUUCGGGAUAAGCCUGGGAAACUGGGUCUAAUACCGGAUAGGACCACUGCCUGCAUGGGUGGUGGUGGAAAGCUUUUGCGGUGUGGGAUGGGCCCGCGGCCUAUCAGCUUGUUGGUGGGGUAAUGGCCUACCAAGGCGACGACGGGUAGCCGGCCUGCGAGGGUGACCGGCCACACUGGGACUGAGAUACGGCCCAGACUCCUACGGGAGGCAGCAGUGGGGAAUAUUGCACAAUGGGCGCAAGCCUGAUGCAGCGACGCCGCGUGAGGGAUGACGGCCUUCGGGUUGUAAACCUCUUUCAGCACCGACGAAGCGCAAGUGACGGUAGGUGCAGAAGAAGGACCGGCCAACUACGUGCCAGCCGCCGCAGUAA